rnacentral:rRNA from 1 species
UGGCCUUUGCGGUAGUAAACCUCUUUUAGCAGGGAAGAAGCGAAAGUGACGGUACCUGCAGAAAAAGCACCGGCUAACUACGUGCCAGCAGCCGCGGUAAUACGUAGGGUGCAAGCGUUAUCCGGAAUUAUUGGGCGUAAAGAGCUCGUAGGCGGUUUGUCGCGUCUGCUGUGAAAACUGGAGGCUCAACCUCCAGCCUGCAGUGGGUACGGGCAGACUAGAGUGCGGUAGGGGAGAUUGGAAUUCCUGGUGUAGCGGUGGAAUGCGCAGAUAUCAGGAGGAACACCGAUGGCGAAGGCAGAUCUCUGGGCCGUAACUGACGCUGAGGAGCGAAAGGGUGGGGAGCAAACAGGCUUAGAUACCCUGGUAGUCCACCCCGUAAACGUUGGGAACUAGUUGUGGGGUCCAUUCCACGGAUUCCGUGACGCAGCUAACGCAUUAAGUUCCCCGCCUGGGGAGUACGGCCGCAAGGCUAAAACUCAAAGGAAUUGACGGGGACCCGCACAAGCGGCGGAGCAUGCGGAUUAAUUCGAUGCAACGCGAAGAACCUUACCAAGGCUUGACAUAUACGAGAACGGGCCAGAAAUGGUCAACUCUUUGGACACUCGUAAACAGGUGGUGCAUGGUUGUCGUCAGCUCGUGUCGUGAGAUGUUGGGUUAAGUCCCGCAACGAGCGCAACCCUCGUUCUAUGUUGCCAGCACGUAAUGGUGGGAACUCAUGGGAUACUGCCGGGGUCAACUCGGAGGAAGGUGGGGAUGACGUCAAAUCAUCAUGCCCCUUAUGUCUUGGGCUUCACGCAUGCUACAAUGGCCGGUACAAAGGGCUGCAAUACCGUAAGGUGGAGCGAAUCCCAAAAAGCCGGUCCCAGUUCGGAUUGAGGUCUGCAACUCGACCUCAUGAAGUCGGAGUCGCUAGUAAUCGCAGAUCAGCAACGCUGCGGUGAAUACGUUCCCGGGUCUUGUACACACCGCCCGUCAAGUCAUGAAAGUCGGUAACACCUGAAGCCGGUGGCCCAACCCUUGUGGAGGAGCC